rnacentral:lncRNA from 1 species
UUAGGAUUAGGAUUAGGAUUAGGAUUUUAGAUUGAUUUAAAGUUUGGUUAGGAUUAGAAUUUAGUUAUAAUUUGUUUAGGAUUUGUUUAGGAUUUGAUUAGGAUUUAUUUAGAAUUUGAUUAGAAUUUUUUUAGGAUUUGAUUAGGAUUUGAUUAGAGUUUGUCUAGAAUUUGAUUAGAAUUUGUCUAGGGUUUGGUUAGGACUUAAUUAGGAUUUGACUAGGAUUCGAUUAAGAUUUUAUUAGGAUUUUAUUAAGAUUUUUUUGAGAUUUGAUUAUGAUUUGAUUAGAAUUUGAUUAAGAUUUGAUUAAGGCUUAUUUAGGAUUUUUUAAAGAUUCAAUUGAGAUUUAAUUAAGGUUUUUAUUUUAAUAUUUUAUUAAGAUUUCUAUUUUAGUAUAAUUUUUUUGAAUUUUUAAUUUAUUCUUUUAUAAUUUCUUGAAAGG